CGGGUGAGUAACACGUGGAUAACCUACCUAUAAGACUGGGAUAACUUCGGGAAACCGGAGCUAAUACCGGAUAAUAUUUUGAACCGCAUGGUUCAAAAGUGAAAGACGGUCUUGCUGUCACUUAUAGAUGGAUCCGCGCUGCAUUAGCUAGUUGGUAAGGUAACGGCUUACCAAGGCAACGAUGCAUAGCCGACCUGAGAGGGUGAAUCGGCCACACUGGAACUGAGACACGGUCCAGACUCCUACGGGAGGCAGCAGCG
rnacentral:rRNA from 1 species